GGAUGUGAAGGUGAAAUGUCACCCAGUUGAACUCCAGCGUUAAUAUGGCUGAUCUCAUCUGGCUGAAUGGAUGACCUCUUCCUCCUCACCCUGUAUGUCUCUUUCAAAGCUGCGUGCUCUGUCAGAGGAUGCCUUUCCCCAGUAGAGGAAGACAAUUUUCAGUCAAGAGAAGACAAGUAGACAUGCUCCCUUCCUAGAUCUUAACUACAGCGCUCAAUAUGUUAGAAGAAACUGCCAGCCUUUCAAGAGACAUCCCCAGCAGUAAACGGUCAUAGUUGCUGCUGUUGCUGCU
rnacentral:snRNA from 1 species